CCAGCAGCUGCGGUAAUUCCAGCUCCAAUAGCAUAUUUUAAAGUUGAUGCAGUUAAAAAGCUCGUAGUUGGAUUUUGGAUAGUAUAUUUUUUUAAGAAACCUGGUCUAACAGUUCGUCUGUGUGUACUGGUUUCGACUAUCCUUUUACUUCCAGAAUUAUGCAUUGUAUACUAUUCUUAACUGAGUGGUGUACUUUUGCUCUGGAACUUUUACCUUGAAAAAAUUAGAGUGCUCAAAGCAGGCUUCAUUUUUUAAUGCCUUGAAUAUUUUAGCAUGGGAUAAUAGAACAGGAUCUGUUUCCUUUUAUUUGGAUUUUUAGGAAAUGGAUAAUGAUUAAUAGGAAUUGUUGGGGGUACUUAUAUUUUGUUGUCAGAGGUGAAAUUCUUAGAUUUUCAAAAGA
rnacentral:rRNA from 1 species